GACGAACGCUGGCGGCGUGCUUAACACAUGCAAGUCGAACGGAAAGGCCCUGCUUUUGUGGGGUGCUCGAGUGGCGAACGGGUGAGUAACACGUGAGUAACCUGCCCUUGACUUUGGGAUAACUUCAGGAAACUGGGGCUAAUACCGGAUAGGAGCUCCUGCUGCAUGGUGGGGGUUGGAAAGUUUCGGCGGUUGGGGAUGGACUCGCGGCUUAUCAGCUUGUUGGUGGGGUAGUGGCUUACCAAGGCUUUGACGGGUAGCCGGCCUGAGAGGGUGACCGGCCACAUUGGGACUGAGAUACGGCCCAGACUCCUACGGGAGGCAACAGUGGGGAAUAAUGCACAAUGGGCGGAAGCCUGAUGCAGCAACGCCGCGUGCGGGAUGACGGCCUUCGGGUUGUAAACCGCUUUCGCCUGUGACGAAGCGUGAGUGACGGUAAUGGGUAAAGAAGCACCGGCUAACUACGU
rnacentral:rRNA from 1 species